rnacentral:rRNA from 1 species
UUUUAUUUGAGAGUUUGAUCCUGGCUCAGGAUGAACGCUGGCGGCGUGCCUAACACAUGCAAGUUGAGCGAUUUACUUCGGUAAAGAGCGGCGGACGGGUGAGUAACGCGUGGGUAACCUACCCUGUACACACGGAUAACAUACCGAAAGGUAUGCUAAUACGGGAUAAUAUAUUUGAGAGGCAUCUCUUGAAUAUCAAAGGUGAGCCAGUACAGGAUGGACCCGCGUCUGAUUAGCUAGUUGGUAAGGUAACGGCUUACCAAGGCGACGAUCAGUAGCCGACCUGAGAGGGUGAUCGGCCACAUUGGAACUGAGACACGGUCCAAACUCCUACGGGAGGCAGCAGUGGGGAAUAUUGCACAAUGGGCGAAAGCCUGAUGCAGCAACGCCGCGUGAGGGAUGAAGGCCUUCGGGUCGUAAAACUCUGUCCUCAAGGAAGAUAAUGACGGUACUUGAGGAGGAAGCCCCGGCUAA